ensembl:snRNA U6 U6 spliceosomal RNA
GUGCUUGCUACGGCUGCACAUAUACUAAAUUUGGAUCGAUACAGAGAAGAUUAGCUUGGCCCCUGUGAAAGGAUGACACACAAAUGUGUGAAACACUUAGUGAUGUG